CGGCAUUUGACUGGGGACUCCGCUCUGUUGACUCUCUCGCGCUGGCAGGUGCGAUGCACGUGAGAUUAGGCACCGGUGGGAGAGAUCGGUAAAGGCGUUUCCUUCGGCGGCGAUCGCGGUUGGUAGUGCGGAAGGCGGAGACGGACGUGGAGAGAUGAUACUGGCCGUGCUCUUCGCCAACACCGACGGCAACAUCCUGAUCGAGCGUUUUCAUGGAGUGCCUGCGGAGGAGCGACUGCAUUGGCGGUCUUUCCUAGUGAAAUUAGGAGCUGAUAAUCUUAAAGGAGCUACAAAUGAGGAGCUUUUUGUUGCUUCACACAAGUCUGUGUCUAUUGUAUACACCGUGCUUGGAGAUGUCUGCAUUUAUGUUGUGGGCAAGGAUGAGUAUGAUGAGCUUGCUUUGGCAGAAGUGCCUUUGUAAUCACAUCAACGGUGAAGGAUGUUUGCGGAAAACUUCCAACUGAGCGCCUGUUCCUCGACAAAUAUGGAAAGAUAUGCCUGUGUCUCGAUGAAAUUGUUUGGACAGGGAUGCUGGAGAACACAGACAAGGACAGGAUCCGAAAGGUGAUGAGGCUAAGACCUCCUACUGAGGCAUGACGUGGAGAUUGUUUUGGGUCUGUAUCUGUUAGAUCCAUGCAGAAACCGGAUGUCCCAUUUAUUGGGUCCCCCUUAUUGUUCUCAUGUGUAACAGUGUCUGCUCUGCUGUUUUUUCAUACAACACUACCUUACUGAUAUCCAAAGGUCGACAAGGAGAAUUUGUUUUGGUGAAAUUGCAGAGAUUUCUUGAUUACCUUCUUUAA